GUGUCCCCGAACCAAAUCCACUCCGAUUUGGCUCAAUCUUUGCUCCUCGCGUAGACCCACCUCCGUAUAAAUACUCCCUGUGUCCUCCUCGUACGAUUUUUCGCCAAACGGAGAUCUCCCGUGCCCUAGGGCGUCACCCCGAUCUCGCCGGAGUUCCAGUCCAGGAGCUUCAUCGCCGGUGUGUUCCGUCGCCACCAGGAGGACGAGGUCCGAGUUCCGCCGGAGUUCUCCGACGCCGCCGCGCCAUUGUUGGAGAACCGCAGCCAGCAGAGGCCACCCCCGUCGCCCCGGAUGCCUCCAAUCUCCCUGCCGUUGUGCGCCUCUUCCUCUGGUCGGACCGCCGUCGCUGGAGUUUGCUCAUAGCCACCACCGUCGUCUCCACCGAGCCGCCCGCGCCUUUCUUCUCCAACUCCGGCGACCACACAGCCCUCUGUUUUCCGAUUGUUCGGAGUGUGAAGCGGAUCGGAAUUAAGCGUUAGAGUACUUCAACACCGUUCAAGGCAAGUUUGCACUUUUGAUUUUGCUUAUCCUAUAUUCUGCUAUGCAUGUGUGAUUUUUAUGCUAUGGCAUGUGCUUGGUUUGAUCUGUAUGUUCUCUGUUGUCAUAUUCUGAUAUUGAUUGUGUUGUGUGAUGGUGUGAUCAACUUGCUAUGGUAGACGUGGGCAUGUGUCGCGUGAUGUUUGGAAGUGGUGAGCGCUUAUAGCUGUAGGCUCGGGGCUUUUUCUCAGGUGAAUGCGUCAAUGGUUGAGCGCUCUAUUGUCCCUAGAGAAUGCGCCAUGACUGAGCGCACUUGAGUUGUCGGGGCUUUUUCUCAUGUGAAUGUGUCACUGGCUGAGCGCUCUAUUGUCCCUAGAGAAUGCGCCAGGACUGAGCGCACUUGAGACAUCUUGAAGAUCUUUAUCAUCUGUGUUGCUUGCACCUUUCCUAUGUCAUGGAGGUAG